UGGGCGAAAGCCUGAUGACGCGACGCCGCGUGAGCGAAGAAGACCUUCGGGUUGUAAAGCUCUGUCAGGAGGGAAGAAGGCUCCACGGGUUAAUAGCCCGUGGAAUUGACGGUACCUCCAGAGGAAGCCCCGGCUAAAUACGUGCCAGCAGCCGCGGUAAUACGUAUGGGGCAAGCGUUGUCCGGAUUUACUGGGCGUAAAGGGCGCGUAGGCGGUUUGUUACGUCGAAGGUGAAAUCCUCGGGCUCAACUCGAGAAUUGCCUUCGAUACUGGCAAACUAGAGUGGCGGAGAGGAAAGCGGAACUCUUGGUGUAACGGUGGAAUGUGUAGAUAUCAAGAGGAACACCGGUGGCGAAGGCGGCUUUCUGGACGCACACUGACGCUCAGGCGCGAAAGCGUGGGUAGCAAACAGGAUUAGAUACCCUGGUAGUCCACGCCAUAAACGAUGGGUACUAGGUGUCGGGGGUAUCGACCCCUCCGGUGCCGCAGUUAACGCACUAAGUACCCCGCCUGGGGAUUAUGUUCGCAAGGCUGAAACUCAAAGGAAUUGACGGGGCCCCGCACAAGCGGUGGAGCAUGUGGUUUAAUUCGACGCAACGCGAAGAACCUUACCUGGGCUUGACAUGCUUGGGACAGCGCUGGAAACAGCGUCUCUCCUUCGGGAGCCCUUGCACAGGUGCUGCAUGGCUGUCGUCAGCUCGUGUCGUGAGAUGUUG
rnacentral:rRNA from 1 species